UUAAUCCUCGUUAAGAUAAUAAAGAAUAAUUUGGGUGUGGGGGGUUGGGUUGUCAUUCACGAAAAUUGCAUUAGAGCUUCCAUCCCAUGUCGAUCCGUAGGAGUAGCGAGAUCCAAAGUGACGCAUCUGUAACUUUAGCUUCCCAAAGCUUAAUCCCAGCUAUCAAGAUAUAUAAAUUAAUCUUAUUGGCCUCAUUUUAAUUAGAUUUGUCUUAAUCAGUCUCAGUGGGGGAUCAGUGCAAAUGCAACGGUCUGAAUUGACGAGCUUUUUGUCACAUAGGGAAGCAUUAAUGCACCAAUGCUGUGUAUUUUACCAAAACUUUUGUACAUAAACUCGUAUAUAUUGGAAUGGCAGUGAAGUUACAAUUUUAUUUUUUUAAAGAUUAAAUUACUAAAAACAAUACUAAAUUUGAUGUGAUUAUUAAUUUCAUAUUAAACUUUAAAUGCAUCGUACCUAAAUACAAAUAUUAGAGCAUUAGUUAUAUAAAUUUAUUAUUAACUUUAAAUGCAUCUUACCUAAAAAUAAAAUAUAUUUAUUAAACUUUAACCAUUGUCCUGUCCCAAUUUAUUAGAGCAAUAGUUAACAUUACUCUAUUGGUAUAUACUACACACACACAAAUAUCAAUACAUAUAUAUAGAAUUAUAAGGGAAAACAAAGAUCCAAAAUUCGUUAAGUUUUUCGAUAAAUAAAAAUCAAAUUCAUGAGUUUUGUGCUUCUUAAUGUAAAAACAUAUACAUAUAUAGAGUACACAUAUUCAUACAUCUAAAUAUAUAAAACUCAACACCAAUUGGUAUUAAAUCCCUUCUCUUUAGUUGAGUUCUAUCAUCUAUACAAUAUAAAGUGGUAAACUUCAAUAAUAUUCAUAACAUAAAUCCAUGAUGUAUGUAAUUGUGAAUUUAAUUUUUAAUGUUGUCUUGGAAGAUGUGGGGGAUAAGAAGAUGGUUUUUUACUUACCUUUUUCCAAUAGAUGCUAUCUGUAUAGGAACACGUUAGAGUGUCACAACCAUUUAUUUUUUGCAUGUUUCUUUUCUGGACAAGUUGUUUCUCUGUAAGGCGGCAGAUCCACACCUCUAUUUGGACUCAUCUAUCCUCGAUGUGCUUCCCUCAUUCAUUACAAGUCUCUCUGUGCUGUUGUUAUCAUCAAGAGCAAGUUUCUCCUGUAUUAGAUGUCUUUGUGGGAAGAGAUUGAUUUCGAUGCUUGGACGCACCCGCUACUUAGCCUUGGGGCCCUCUGGAGGCCUCGGGUGGACCAGUUGUUGUUUCCCUCCUCCUUUGCCCGCUUGUUCGGUGGUUUUUUAGAGACUUUCUCAUGUUCUCUCGUGCCUUUCAUCGAUACGUGUGCUGCUACUUGUUCUCUCACAUUGUAUUUUCACUUUUAGUUUAUUUUCUUUUCACAUUGCAUGUUUUGAGUAGGUAGCGGAUUCGAUUCCUCUUCUAGGCUAAAUGUUGGUUUGGUUUUGUGUGUCUUUGCGAGGUAUGCCCCGUAUGUUGUUUUGUAAACUAUCGUGGGUUUGGAUGCCAUUAGAUUUUCAAUCUCGAUCAUUUAUCUC